UACGUAGGGGGCGAGCGUUGUCCGAAUUUACUGGGCGUAAAGCGCGCGUAGGCGGUUUCUUAAGUCUGGGGUGAAAGGUUCAACGCUCAACGUGAACAGUGCCUUGGAUACUGGGAGACUUGAGUCUGGGAGGGGGUAGUGGAAUUCCUGGUGUAGCGGUGAAAUGCGUAGAUAUCUGGAGGAAUACCGGUGGCGAAGGCGGCAUCCUGGACCGACAUUGACGCUGAUGAGCGAAAGCUAGGGGAGCAAACGGG
rnacentral:rRNA from 1 species